ensembl:antisense
CUAUUCAGAGGAGGUGGUAGAGGGGCAAGCUCUCCCAGGAUAUGAGACCCCUAUGGCUGGAAGAUGAGCCGCCCUGGACCCCCAGAGGAGAAGGUCUCUGAAACCCAGUUGUCCGGGGUCCCCGACGCCCCUGAAGAUGCUCCUGGUGAUGACAUAGUUGGUGCAGAGGAUUCAGACUUGGUGCCCUCUGUCACCCUGGCUGCAGCCCUCAUCCUAGUGUUCCUCCUGAUGUCGUUCUGGCUAGCAUAGCUACCCUGCCAAAUCUCCUGCCACUCUGCUAAGCUUCCUACUAAGUGGGUUCCUGAGCAGAGGGCAGCAGGACAGUUGGGCUCCUAGCUCUCCGUUCUGGGUCUAUGGCAUUCAGUGCUGUGUGAGACCUGUCGAAGGAGGAUCCCGUGGGAGGCUACAGCCUGAAACCCGCAGCUCUCAUUUUCAUUCCUCUGGCCUGCUUCCAUUGAUAAGGAUCUUCAGCUGUGUUCCCCAUCUUUGGGAAGCCAUGCUGGGCGCUUCCGAUAAAGCUGAAUGACUCCAGGCAUUUAUAUCAAUGAGUGGGAGUAACUGUGUGGUCAGUCUUUCAAUUCUGGACCUCAGAUUCCCCAGUUUUCAAGGUGGGCUGGUAGUGCCUGUUUCUUGGAAGUUUGAGGAAGAUGCCCAGUGAGUGGCCUUCUGUGGUCACGCUGAUCUAUACUCCCCCAACACACCAGCCUCUGAGCACUCACCCAAAAGAUUCACGGGAAAGGGGCAAAGGAGCUGCCUCCAAAGGAUGCACUGGUCUCAUCUGCCACCUGGUGGUCGAAGAUAGAAUUGCACUUGCAUAGAGGUUUGGAGUGUUCCAAGGGUGGGCAUUUUUUUUUUUUUUUUUUUUUUUUUUUUGAGGUGAAAAUUUUUGUUUUUUUUUUUUUUUUUCAUGAGCAAGGAUCCCGCUGCCAAGUGAAAACUGUUUUGACAUUUACUGCUGAUAUCUGUUCCCCAUCUCUGUCUUUGAUCUAAAAGCCAUUAGAGAGGCGGCAACUCUCCUAUUUUAAGGCAGGAUUAUGGGUGGUUCCCUUCUCAGGACACCAUGCCUUCCUGCCUUCAGCAGCCUGAGUUCCACAAGAGACUUUCCUCUCAGGCAUGACUGCUUUUCAGGUAGGGAUCUGCUGGUUGGGUCUGGAAGGACAAGGCCAUGGUACAGACAUAUCUAGAGAACCCUGCAGUUACCCACAUCCCACAGUGUCACUGCUCUGCCAAGCCUAGGGGAAGGGGGUACUGAAGCGUUCAGAAAACGGACCAGGCGACUCAGGAUUGCUAUGGCCUGGCUGGUGGCCAGAGACUGUCAGGAGGCUCUGGGGUGUCUCCAGGAGGGCUGCCUCAGACAGUGGGGUGUUUAUGUUCUCCAAAUGCCAACUUUCCUUCCAAGAACUUGGGGUCUUGGAGGGGAGGAGUGAGGAUGGGUCUGAGCUCUGGUUUCUGAACUAUUCUGUGCCCAUGCCAGGGUCCCAGUAGAGGGCGCUGCUCCCUCCUGGGAAUGUGAAGCACGUGACUGUGUGCCCCACUGGGGACAAAGUCCUCUGCUCCAGGAUGACAGCAGUCUUAGUCCAACACUUGGGUCCUGUCGUCUCAGGCAAUAUGAGAAGUGAGCAGGAGCUUUAGGUGGCCUCAGAGAGUCUUGGAGGAGUAUAGGUAUAGUCCUUGAAGCAAUGGUGACAGGCACUUUGGGUGGUAGACUGAGGGCAAAGGCUGGGAGUUGGAUGAUGCUUUUCCACCAGCUGGAUAGGAGGUGGCAUUCGGGGGCAGGGUGUCCAAGCAAAGAGGAAAGAGGGACUCUCAGUGGGCCGCUGUGGGGUAGACCCCCAUCCACAGUGAGGCUGUGAGCAUGAGAAGUAGCAGGGCCUUAAGUAUGGCUCCCGCAGCCUCUGACCUUCUUCUCUUACCCCUAUCUAUCCCUGCUGGAGGAGAGAAGCUGAAGUCAGACACCCAAUCCCUCCUGUUCUCUGGGUUUCUACUCUUGUGCCCUUGGGUGCAGCUGGUUAGCUAACAGCUCUGACCCCUUUGGAAUUUAGCACAAGUUGUCACUUUCUGUUUGGUGUGAUCCCAAGCCCCUCUUCCCUCCUGACACCUCUCCACCUGUGAAGCUGACCAGACGCAAAGCUAGAACAUCAAUGCCCUCUCCCUCGACGGCUGAGCUCACCACUGUCCUUUUUGUCAGGCAUGGAUGGCAGCAGCAUCCUGGAAAUCAUGAUGACUGCAGGCUUCGGGGAGCUCAGGAGAGCUGGGCCGUGGACAGAAGCUCUUCCAGGCUUGCCUGCCUGAAAUCCAGGUUCUACCACAGUUCCAGUGCCAACAAGCUACCCAUGCAGGCCAGGGCAAGUGCAUGCAUUGUUAAAUAGAACUCAGGAAAAUGCCCUGUGGUUUUCAGGUUUCCAGUGGCCAGCUCGCUCUGUCUGGCCCCAUUCCUGGAUUCUCAAUGCCCAGCCCAUCAGCACAAGUACCUGGGGAGAAUGCAGGCCAGGAAGAAAUUGCAUCUGCAAGGAAAAUAUUGUUUUAUAGAAUUCAGUGGCCCAUUCUGUAAACAUUGUGGUUCUGCCUCAGGUUUUUUCCCUGCCUGUCUCCUACCUCCAGGGAGCACCAGGGAGCACUGGGCAGCCGGAUGUCUGAGCUUAGGAAAAUAUGUGCUUUGGGUGAGUUGGCUGUUGCACAGGACAGGCUUGGGGACUUUACCAGGCGUGUGAGAGAAUCCAGGAGUGGGGCUGGUUGGAGUUUUCCUCCAGAGGCUUAUAGAGAGACAGUGUAUGGAUACACACGUGGAUAUGAAUGUUUGUCUAUGGACAUCUGUAUUUAUGUAUGCAUGAGGAUAAUUAUACAUGUGUAUGC